rnacentral:rRNA from 1 species
AGAGGGUGACACUCCCGUCCGCCUGGCAGAGUGAGUCGUUUGUCAACGAGUCGAGUUGUUUGGGGUUGCAGCUCUAAUUUGGUGGUAAAUUCCAUCUAAAGCUAAAUAUUGGUGGGGGACCGAUAGCGUACAAGUACCGUGAGGGAAAGAUGCAAAGAACUUUGAAAAGAGAGUUAAAGAGUACCUGAAACUGCUGAAACGGAAAGCGAAGGUAAACCAGUGUUUGUUUGUUCUAUAUUUCCCUAGCCGACUUGCGGCUUGGGCGCUGUGGGCGUUGCGUGAGUUUACUUUGGUUGAUCCCUUUGGAAGAGCGCAGUCCAGAGUUGAUGUCU